UACAGAGGGGGCAAGCGUUGUUCGGAAUUACUGGGCGUAAAGCGCACGUAGGCGGCUUUGUAAGUUAGAGGUGAAAGCCCGGAGCUUAACUCCGGAACUGCCUUUAAGACUGCAUCGCUCGAAUCAUGGAGAGGUCAGUGGAAUUCCGAGUGUAGAGGUGAAAUUCGUAGAUAUUCGGAAGAACACCAGUGGCGAAGGCGGCUCGCUGGGCCGGACCUGACGCUGAGACGCGAAGGCGUGGGGAGCGAACGGG
rnacentral:rRNA from 1 species